rnacentral:rRNA from 1 species
AUGGCCGCCGCCGCCGCCAGGUCGAUGCUCCGCUCGUCCGCUUCUCUUCUCCGCGCUGCUCCGGCGAGGGCCUCUUCCUCUGCGGCGCGACCAUCCCUUCGCCGCGCGUUGGGCGCGCCCCCUCGCCUACUCAGGUCGCCAGUCGAGGCGAGCUUCUGCGUGGAGUCGCUGCUGCCGCUGCACAGCGCCACCGCCGCGGCGCGGAUGACGUCUAUGCUCGCCGUGCCUGGCCGAGGCCUCGGGUGGCUCACGGAAGGAAUGAUAAUGGUUCCUAUUAUUGGAGGAUUUCCUGUAAACUUAGUGACUAAGGCUCCUAAUUCCACCGGAAAGAAUGAAUAUGUUCAUAUUUUAGUUACAUGA